CGGGAUGUGGCGCAGCUUGGUAGCGCACCUGACUGGGGGUCAGGGGGUCGCAGGUUCAAAUCCUGUCAUCCCGACAA
rnacentral:tRNA from 3 species